rnacentral:rRNA from 1 species
AAUAGAUACCCGGGUAGUCCACGCCGUAAACGGUGGGUGCUAGGUGUGGGGAACUUUCCACGUUCUCCGUGCCGCAGCUAACGCAUUAAGCACCCCGCCUGGGGAGUACGGCCGCAAGGCUAAAACUCAAAAGGAAUUGACGGGGGCCCGCACAAGCGGCGGAGCAUGCGGUUUAAUUCGAUGCAACGCGAAGAACCUUACCAAGGCUUGACAUAUAGGGAAAUCCGGCAGAGAUGUCGGGUCCGCAAGGGUCCUAUACAGGUGGUGCAUGGCUGUCGUCAGCUCGUGUCGUGAGAUGUUGGGUUAAGUCCCGCAACGAGCGCAACCCUCGUUCUAUGUUGCCAGCGGAUAAUGCCGGGGACUCAUAGGAGACUGCCGGGGUCAACUCGGAGGAAGGUGGGGACGACGUCAAGGUCAUCGAUGCCCCUUAUGUCUUGGGCUACACGCAUGCUACAAUGGCCGGUACAAAGGGCUGCGAUACCGUAAGGUGGAGCGAAGUCCCAUAAAGGCCGGUCUCAGUUACGGAUCGGGGUCUGCAACUCGA